rnacentral:rRNA from 1 species
UACGUAGGGUGCAAGCGUUGUCCGGAAUUAUUGGGCGUAAAGAGCGUGUAGGCGGUCCGGUAAGUCCGUUGUGAAAGUCAGGGGCUCAACCCUUGAAUGCCGGCGGAUACUGUCGGGCUAGAGUCCGGAAGAGGCGAGUGGAAUUCCCGGUGUAGCGGUGAAAUGCGCAGAUAUCGGGAGGAACACCUAUGGCGAAGGCAGCUCGCUGGGACGGUACUGACGCUGAGACGCGAAAGCGUGGGGAGCAAACAGG